rnacentral:rRNA from 1 species
CCUACGGGCUGCAGCAGUAGGGAAUCUUCCGCAAUGGACGAAAGUCUGACGGAGCAACGCCGCGUGAGUGAUGAAGGCUUUCGGGUCGUAAAACUCUGUUGUUAGGGAAGAACAAGUGCUAGUUGAAUAAGCUGGCACCUUGACGGUACCUAACCAGAAAGCCACGGCUAACUACGUGCCAGCGGCCGCGGUAAUACGUAGGCGGUAAGCGUUAUCCGGAAUUAUUGGGCGUAAAGCGCGCGCAGGUGGUUUCUUAAGUCUGAUGUGAAAGCCCACGGCUCAACCGUGGAGGGUCAUUGGAAACUGGGAGACUUGAGUGCAGAAGAGGAAAGUGGAAUUCCAUGUGUAGCGGUGAAAUGCGUAGAGGUAUGGAGGAACACCAGUGGCGAAGGCGACUUUCUGGUCUGUAGCUGACACUGAGGCGCGAAAGCGUGGGGAGCAAACAGGAUUAGAUACCCGCGUAGUC